UGGGGAAUAUUGCACAAUGGGCGCAAGCCUGAUGCAGCCAUGCCGCGUGUAUGAAGAAGGCCUUCGGGUUGUAAAGUACUUUCAGCGGGGAGGAAGGGAGUAAAGUUAAUACCUUUGCUCAUUGACGUUACCCGCAGAAGAAGCACCGGCUAACUCCGUGCCAGCAGCCGCGGUAAUACGGAGGGUGCAAGCGUUAAUCGGAAUUACUGGGCGUAAAGCGCACGCAGGCGGUUUGUUAAGUCAGAUGUGAAAUCCCCGGGCUCAACCUGGGAACUGCAUCUGAUACUGGCAAGCUUGAGUCUCGUAGAGGGGGGUAGAAUUCCAGGUGUAGCGGUGAAAUGCGUAGAGAUCUGGAGGAAUACCGGUGGCGAAGGCGGCCCCCUGGACAAAGACUGACGCUCAGGUGCGAAAGCGUGUGGAGCAAACAGG
rnacentral:rRNA from 1 species